rnacentral:rRNA from 1 species
UACGAAGGGGGCUAGCGUUGCUCGGAAUCACUGGGCGUAAAGCGCACGUAGGCGGAUCGUUAAGUCAGGGGUAGAAUCUGGAGCUCAACUCCAGAACUGCCUUUGAUACUGGCGAUCUUGAGUUCGGGAGAGGUGAGUGGAACUGCGAGUGUAGAGGUGAAAUUCGUAGAUAUUCGCAAGAACACCAGUGGCGAAGGCGGCUCACUGGCCCGAUACUGACGCUGAGGUGCGAAAGCGUGGGAGCAACAGGG